GAUGAACGCUGGCGGCGUGCCUAAUACAUGCAAGUCGAGCGAACGGACGAGAAGCUUGCUUCUCUGAUGUUAGCGGCGGACGGGUGAGUAACACGUGGAUAACCUACCUAUAAGACUGGGAUAACUUCGGGAAACCGGAGCUAAUACCGGAUAAUAUUUUGAACCGCAUGGUUCAAAAGUUAAAGACGGUCUUGCUGUCACUUAUAGAUGGAUCCGCGCUGCAUUAGCUAGUUGGUAAGGUAACGGCUUACCAAGGCAACGAUGCAUAGCCGACCUGAGAGGGUGAUCGGCCACACUGGAACUGGGACACGGUCCAGACUCCUACGGGAGGCCGCAGUAGGGAAUCUUCCGCAAUGGGCGAAAGCCUGACGGAGCAACGCCGCGUGAGUGAUGAAGGUCUUCGGAUCGUAAAACUCUGUUAUGAGGGAAGAACAUAUGUGUAAGUAACUGUGCACAUCUUGACGGUACCUAAUCAGAAAGACACGGCUAACUACGUG
rnacentral:rRNA from 1 species